rnacentral:rRNA from 1 species
CGUAGGCGGACUUUUAAGUCGGGGGUGAAAGCCCAGGGCUCAACCCUGGAAUUGCCUUCGAUACUGAGAGUCUUGAGUUCGGAAGAGGUUGGUGGAAUUGCGAGUGUAGAGGUGAAAUUCGUAGGUAUUCGCAAGAACACCAGUGGCGAAGGCGGCCAACUGGUCCGAUACUGACGCUGAGGCGCGAAAGCGUGGGGAGCAAACA